ACCAUUUUAAACUUGUUUUAAAGACUUAGGAUAACCAGACCAAAGACCUUCAAAGCCUUUAGCAGAAGUUAUAAGAGGUACUGCCUGCCCAGUGACACCUGUUCAACGGCCGCGGUAUUAUGACCGUGCAAAGGUAGCGUAAUCACUUGUCUUUUAAAUAAAGACCAGUAUGAAUGGCAAAACGAGAGCCUAACUGUCUCUCUAAGCUAGUCAGUGAAAUUGACAUUCCCGUGCAGAGACGGGAAUAUUAUUACAAGACGAGAAGACCCUAUGGAGCUUCAAGCUGUAACCCAACAAAUAUUANNAGUAACCCUUAACACAGCUUUAGGUUGGGGCGACCACGGAGAAUAAGAAAUCCCCCGAGAUGAUUAGCUAAGAAAAACAAAUCAAAGCAACAAAAAUCUUGACAUAUUGACCCAAUAUUUGACCAACGAACCAAGUUACCCUAGGGAUAACAGCGCAAUCUUCUCACAGAGUCCCUAUCGACGAGAAGGUUUACGACCUCGAUGUUGGAUCAGGGCCCCCAAAUGGUGCAGCCGCUAUUAAAGGUUCGUUUGUUCAACGAUUAAAGCCCUACGUGAU
rnacentral:rRNA from 1 species